CUGAAUGGGGAAACCCACCCGCAAGGGUAUCCUGCACUGAAUACAUAGGUGUAGGAGGCGAACGAGGGGAACUGAAACAUCUAAGUACCCUUAGGAAAAGAAAUCAAUUGAGAUUCCCACAGUAGCGGCGAGCGACCUGGGAACAGCCUGCAAGUGAUAUCAGUUUAUUUAGUGGAACGGUCUGGAAAGUCCGGCGAUACAGGGUGAUAGCCCCGUACACGAAAAGUAUUCUGUGGUACUAAGCUUGCGACAAGUAGGUCGGGACACGUGUUAUCUUGACUGAAGAUGGGGGGACCAUCCUCCAAGGCUAAAUACUACUGACGACCGA
rnacentral:rRNA from 1 species